rnacentral:rRNA from 1 species
GAUGAACGCUGGCGGCGUGCCUAAUACAUGCAAGUCGAGCGAACAGACGAGGAGCUUGCUCCUCUGACGAUAGCGGCGGACGGGUGAGUAACACGUGGAUAACCUACCUAUAAGACUGGGAUAACUUCGGGAAACCGGAGCUAAUACCGGAUAAUAUAUUGAACCGCAUGGUUCAAUAGUGAAAGACGGUUUUGCUGUCACUUAUAGAUGGAUCCGCGCCGCAUUAGCUAGUUGGUAAGGUAACGGCUUACCAAGGCAACGAUGCGUAGCCGACCUGAGAGGGUGAUCGGCCACCCGGGAACUGGACCACGGUCCAGACUCCUACGGGAGGCAGCAGUAGGGAAUCUUCCGCAAUGGGCGAAAGCCUGACGGAGCAACGCCGCGUGAGUGAUGAAGGUCUUCGGAUCGUAAAACUCUGUUAUUAGGGAAGAACAAAUGUGUAAGUAACUAUGCACGUCUUGACGGUACCUAAUCAGAAAGCCACGGCUAACUACGUG